CACUUUACAUUUACUGAUUCUUUAUGAGAUUUCACUUGUAUCAGUAAUAUGAAUCAAAACUAUUGGUCGGUAAUGAUACCACUCUUGCAUGCACGUCAAUAAAAAGUAUAACUAUAGUGGUUGGAAACAAGUUUGUAGUAAUUUUACAACCAUUUCAAUAAAAAGCAAUUGUGAUCUCAACAAGUUGUUUGAUUGAAUUUGUUUUUGAUUUGUUCUAGUUCUGGUAGGUUCGAGUAGUGACGAUAAACCUUUCGACUUCGACAAAAGUUCAACGGUCGAUAUCAUUGUUUGCGCUAACAGGAAGGCCCUUGCGCUUACCAGCAGCAAUUUAAUUCUACUUAGUAUGGUCAGGACAAUUACCAACAAAGGCAUCGAACGGAUUUAAAAAAUAGUUGCCACUUGUGUUCGUUUUUCAGUGAUACUCGCAUGAUGAAACGAUUCGAGCGAAGGGUAUUUUUCCUCGUCACCAUGAUGAUGUGUCACUUCAGUCAACUUAGAAACGCAGGCGUGUUGGGACAUUUUAGCUCUAGGCGAUACGGAAGAAGUUCAAUGCGAUCAUCCGCUCUAAAACAAACACUUUGCAGUUGGUAUAAAUUGCCAACGGUUAUUAACACGGUGCAAUAUUAUGGACAAACGAACAGAGGUUUCAGUUACGGUGGUUCAGGACACUACAAUACUCGCUGGUGGGAAGCGUAUAACCAGGAUUUUGGCGACGAUGAUUAUUACGACUACUACUACAAUUACGAAUACGAUGGUCCCUCGGAGGAGA